UACGUAGGGUGCAAGCGUUGUCCGGAAUUAUUGGGCGUAAAGAGCUCGUAGGUGGCCUGUCGCGUCGGCUGUGAAAACUCGGGGCUCAACUCCGAGCUUGCAGUCGAUACGGGCAGGCUAGAGUUCGGCAGGGGAGACUGGAAUUCCUGGUGUAGCGGUGAAAUGCGCAGAUACUCAGGAGGAACACCGGUGGCGAAGGCGGGUCUCUGGGCCGAUACUGACACUGAGGAGCGAAAGCGUGGGGAGCGAACAGG
rnacentral:rRNA from 1 species